UGAUUGCUCUUGAAGCUUCUUCUUAAGUUAAGGCUCAUUGAGUUCUUUUCUUUAAAAAGUACGUAAAAGCUUUCUGAGCUUCAGUAUGAUUGAAACUGUUAAAUUUAUUGGAUUCUACCUACUUUUCUGAAAGAUAGAAAACCUUUAGAAAUGAUUUUAUAUGUGAGGUGAUCUAUUUAAUCUGUGUUUAGCUAAAUUACAUCAAAAUACAGGCCAAAUGUUGCAGUGACAUUAAACUGUUGAAACUCUGCCCUGACUAGGGCUUUUCUUCAGUUAUCCUCAUUGUCUCUGAUAAUAGGUCUUCAUGCUUAAUCCUCUGUCCCAUAUAGGCUGUCCGGAGCACACAUGGCUUGGAAGUUCCACUAAGCCAUAAAGGGAAAUUGAUGGUGACAGAAGAAUAUAUCGACUUUGUGUUAAAUAUAGCAAAUCAAAAAAUGGAGGAAAACAAAAAGAGAAUCGAAAGGUCCCCUAACAAGGGUAAUUGGGCCUCCAGGGAGUUUUUCCAAACCUCUCAGUUAAAUCUGCCAAUGGUAAGGAUGCUCAGGCCUUGAAGGUAAGCGGAACCAUUCCUGUUUUAUCCUGAACCCAAGGGUCAAACAGGCCUAAGGGAAAUGGUUUGGAACUGUCAUCUAACAUUAUCACCAACAUGUACUGUAUUUCCAAGCAGCCUGCAAAGGGAGCCAGCAGCAUGCAUACAUGGCCCUGAACUGCAGGGUGGUAGCAUGUCACAUGUCUGGUAACAGAAGGGGAUAACCAUCCCCUACAAACUUGACAUAUAUAAAUUGAUUACAUAAGUGGGCAGUGGUGGUCCUUUCAAGUACACUCCUUUUGUUUGAGCUUUACAGUAAAAUUACCAGCAGCAGUUUACAAUUAAGGGGAAUAAUAAUAACUGAAUAUGCUUUCAUCUACACAUACAAUUACAAUGAACUGCAUGCCUUAAUAGGAUUGUGAAAAAUCUGCGUUUGACCCAUACAAAAAAGUAAACAUUCUUGUUCUGGAUACUAUAUCAUUAUCACAACAAAGGGAAACUCCUGAAAUCUGAUGAUUUAAACAUCUGGAGAAUGUUAAUCACUUCAAAAUGACGGAUGUUUUUUAUUUCAGCUUUUGACAGACACACUCCUUUCAUAGAUAGAUGAUUAUUUACAUAAAUUACAUCAUCAAUGUGAAAGAAAUCAGAAUAACUUCAAAGGAUAAAAUGCUUAAUUAAAAAGAGACUUGUAUUUCUAUUUUUCUCCCUUUCUCUGUGCUUGCCUUUAAAGGAGGAGGAAAAUACCCACUCACUUGGCAAAGCCAAGAGUUCUUUUUGUAAGUGAAUAUUUAAUAAAGGAAUUAUCUUUCUGAAUUGCUAUGUGUAGAGACAAUCACCUUUAAGAAUAAAGUACUUUGGUUUUACUGUCCCAAAAACCUAUUAAUAGCUUUGAGUCCACUUCUAACUUCCCCUUUCAGUAAAAAUGAGAGUUUGGCGUUCACUCCAUGACUCUAGUGGAUGAAACUGAUUUAAGCUCAAGUUCAAGUCUGAGACUCAUUCAGAGGUGCCACUCAAGACUAAUCAGCAUUAGUAGAUGGAGUGAAAUAUCGUUAAAAAUAUAUUGUAUUGGGGGUUAAUGGUUUACCAUACAAUUGUUGACAUGGGUACAAGAAAAUAACUUGUAAAGCAACUAAGUUCUGCUUUCAUUGUAGAUGGGGGCUCAGGGAAGAAAAUUCAUGAGCAGUCUUAAGAAAACGAUUUGAAAACUGUUCUUCCGGGACUGGCCCCAGGCUUCUGGUGGCUGCAGUCCCUCAGGGCAAGCCUCUGACUGGCGGCGUGCUGCCUGAUGCUGGUGGGUAGAGCUGGUGCAAUUUGGCUGAUCCACUACAAUUUCCUCCUACACUCUGAGCUGAUCUGCAGGCUGACCUUAGACAAUUUGUCUUCUUUCAGGGAGAAAUGUCACCCGAAAGGAAGCUAUUAAGUCAAGAAGGCAAUUCUUUCAGAACAGUCCACUGUAUAAACAGAACUUGACCUCAGUUCUCUCUCUCCAUCUCUAGGUCGAUCUAAUUCACUACCCAGCUCUACAAGGGGCCUGCAGUCUGGAGACCACCCACAGCUGACAAGUGGAAAAGUGUUGAAAACCUGUCAACUACAGCUGACACAGAGACCAUCAGGAUAGAUUCUAACAUUGCGAACGUUUUUCUGAAAAAUUUCCCCAGAGCUCUGUCCAUUGUUGAUAUCUAAGACCUAAAAAGUAGUAAGUUGUACUUUAUUUCUUGACUGACACUGAUUUUUGAAAUGUUGGUAUUAAAGCCUAGGACUCUAGAAUCUCCAUUUAUCCAGUCUAAAAAAUCGGGCUAAUACCAUAACAGAAUUUCCCUGUACAAACAGCAGUGUCUUUCUUGAAUGCAUGAAGUGCUUUGAGAUCCUCAUAGGAAAAUUCUAAAAGAGGAAUUUGGAGAGUAUAAUGAUGUUUUUCUAAAUUGAAACUGACAACCAGCAUUUAGUGGGGGAAUCAGAAGACAGAACUGAGGGCAGGCAGCCUUAUAUUCAUUACAACAGAUGGUUUAGUUUUCACUGAAUGAUGAGGAAGAAACUGAGUGAAUGAACUGUGGUAUGUUCUUAAAGGAUUCAGCAGCCAUCCAAUUAUUUUGGAACAAUCCAGCUUGCACUGGUCUGUAUUAUACAAAAUAAAGCAUCCCUGUUGAGUUUGACUUCAGCUGACUGAAGUCAUAAGGUACAAUGUUCUGUUAUUAAACAACAUUGGUAUAAUUACUACUGGCAAAGCUUUUAAAAAAACAAAAUUUCAUUCAAAUUCCUAGCACAAAUAUAAAUCACAUAAGUUACAUAGCAAAUUCUGUAACAGAUGCCUUUUUAGAAAAAAAAUAAUGAAUGAUUUUUAUGCUUUCUUUCUUCAUUUGCUCUCUCAUCUCUUCUCCACCUCUGCUUUUCUUUCCUUUAUAAAAAGUUUUAACAAAAAUUUCAUAUGAAGUAUGAACCAUGCAGGAAAGUACAGAACAUAAUAUAAGAUCUGUGUUUUCUACAACCAAGAUUAAGCAGAUGUUAAUUUUUUUUUCAAUUCCCAUUUGAUAUUGUUCUCUUUUAUAUACUUAGUAUGUUACAUAGAUACAUUACAGCCUUUCAUCCUUUUCCCCUCCCCCUUGCUCAGAAGUCAGAAUCAUACCCAAAAUGGUUGUAUCACCAUUGCACAUAUUAAUGUGCUUUCACUGUAUCAGACUGAGUUUCUGAACAUUAUGUACUAUGAUUUCAUUGGACAAUUUUCAUACAUGUCUGCUGUAUUUAUUUGUUUGCAACUUUCAAAUUGAUAUGCUUUAAAGAUUUACUCACAUUGAUACAUUUAGAUUUAAUGUGUUCAAUUUAAAAUCAUGUUAGCACUCCCUUACUUACAUUUAAUCCAUUUUCCAUCUCGAAGAACCAGCUUACUCUUCAGUAACUGCUAGACUGGCCUUGUUUGGCAGAAUGAUGGCAGGUCUUUUUCUUUGUCUUUUUUCCCCCUCCUUAAUGAAGUAUUUUCACUCACAUACAUGUACAAAAUAUAUACAUAUUAUACAUAUAAUUCCUGGUGAUGGGUUUUUGAUUGGCUUGUUUGGGUUUUUACUAUUACCAACAGUGCUAUAAUAAAUAUGUACAUGUAGCUUUUAGCACAUAUACAUUUUACUAAAGGAGAAAAUUAGGAAUCAAAUUGCUAGGUUUUAUGAACUUACCACCUUUGUGAUCUUUGACCUUAUCAGUUACUGCUAAAUUUCUCUUGGAAUAUUACUAUAACAGUUUAUGCUACCAUUCACAAUAAAUAAGAUUCACUAUAUCCUCACACUAUUACUAGUCCUUGAUGUUAUCCAAUUAAUUAUAUUUGCCAAUCUAAUUGUGAAAUUAUAUCUGAGGUUUUAAUUUUUUAUUUCCUUCAUUACUGAUGCUGAGAAUAGUUUUUAUAUUUUAUUGGUUAUUUGCAUUCCUAUAAAAUGUCUGCUCAUAGUUUUUACCUAUUUCUUUUUUGACUUGUGUGUCAUUGUUUUCUAAUUAAUCCUUAAAAUAUAGAUUUCAGGACAUAUCGGUGUUUUAAUUUUAUUUAUAAUUUUUGAAUGAAAAUUGCUUUUCCUUUGAAGUGUUCAGAUUCAGCUAUAUUUCAUGUUUCUUGUCCUGUUAAAAAAUACAUCUUUUGAAAAUGCCAGAAUGGUAUUCUGUGAUAUUUUCUUUAAGAAAAUGGAUAGUUUUGUAUUUACUGUACCAGAGUAAAGGAUUAUGGGACAGACCCUGGAACAGGAUGGCAGAGAAGGACCUAGAUGGCAGACUUUAGUGUUAUAUGGAAAAAUGAGAAAUGUUACACAUGUACCAAUUACUGUAUUUUACUGUUGACUGUAAACAAUUAUUUCACCCAAGAGAAAAAAGAAGUAUAAUUUUUCUUUCCAUAUCAUAACUUUUAUUUUUGUGUAAAACAUAACAUAGGGAUCUUUUUUGACUUGUCCUUGUAGUCAGUAUUGAAUGUUUACCCCUUCAUCCUAUUAUUUGCAAGUCUCUUUUUUCACAGAAGACUUAAAGCUUUUAUGAGGAGAUAGAGGCCUAAACUUCUAAACAUAUGUAAUCUUCUUUCUAAAGUUUAGAUCCUUACAAAUUUAUACUAAUACCUAAUGUUAAAUUUGAUAUGUGUCACAGUAAACAGAAAAAAGGCUCGCCAAAUAUUAGCAUGUCCUAAUCCCUGGAACCUGUGAAUAAAUUACCUGGUGUGGUAAAAGGAAGUUUGCAGAUAUAAUAAAACUAAGGACCUUGAUGGGAAAGAAUCUAAUUUAGUCAGGUGGGUCUUGUUUCUAUUAGUAAGUUUUUAAAAGGGAAACAAAUCUUCCCUGGAUGAAAACAGAGAGGGAGAAGUGACUGUAGAAAGUAGUUAAGAAAUUUGCAACAUUAUUGGUUUUGAAGAGGAAGGAAAGAGAUGCUGAAUCAGGAAUGCCAACAGCCUCUAGAAGUUGUAAAAGCAAAAAGCAAAAAAAAAAACAGACUCCUUCUGAACCUUCAGAAAUGAUACAGCUGACAUCGUGAUUUUAGCCUAAUUUAGCCCAAUGAGACCUGUUUGCUUUUAACCUACUAAAGUGCAAGAAAACAUGCCAUUAUGCGUAUGUUGAUUCAUUAUAACAACCAUUGAAAACUAAUACAAUGUAAGAGGGAUUCUCUAGCUAUUUUUCUUUUUUUUUUUAAAUUGAUCUUAUUUACUUUGUAUUAUAUAAAUUUAACAGAUUGUGUGAGCAAUGGAAUUUUGAUUAGAAUUAAGUUCUAUUCAAGUUGACAAAAAUGACCACUUAAAGAAAAAAACCUGUCUCCUUGUCUUUAAACAUGAAAUUAUUAAUUUUAUGUGUUGAGCUGACUGGACCACAUGGUAUCCCCAAAUUGGGUUAAACAUUCUUCUGGGUAUAUUUGUGUGAAUGACUUUGGAUAAGAUCAAUAUAAAUCAACUGAGCUGUAAACCACUAACUCCUCAACAAAAUAAUCUAAAAUCAACAUUUGAAUUGAUAAACUGAGUAAAUCAGAUUGUUCUUCUUGGUAUGAGUGGGCUUUGUUCAGUCACUGAAUAGAAGGCUGACCUGUAUUGAGAAAAGGAUAAUUCUUUCUAACCUGUCUUCAAUUGGAACACCAGGUUUAUUUUUUAUUUUUUAUUAGUGAUGUAAUAAUGAUUAACAAGAUUGUGGGAUAAGAAAGGUACAGUUCCAUACAAUUCCCACCACCAGAGUUCUGUAUCCCAUUCCCUCCUUGGAAGCUUCCUUUUCCCUAUCUUUUAUCCUUCUGAGUGUAUGGCCCAAAGAUCUUUAUGGAGUGCAGAAGGUGGGAGGUCUGGCUUUUGUAAUUGCUUCUCCGCUGGGCAUGAGCUUUCGCAGGUCAAGCCCAGCCUGGUUCGUAUCUUUCCCUAAUGGGGCAAGGCUCUGGGGAAGUGGGGUUCCAGGACACAUUGGUGAGAUUAUCUGCCCAGAGAAGUCAGGGUUGGCAUCAUGAUAGCAUCUGCAACUUGGUGGCUGAAAAGCACUAAGAUAUAAAUCAGAAAAAAUUGUUUAAUAAUCAGGAACCUAAAGGUAAGAAUAUAGCAGGAGAUUUGGGGUCUUCAUGUUGGAAGUAGCUAGAGGUCUAUUAUAGGUAUAUUCCAAAGGGCCCAUGACUUUACUAAUUUUUGCAUGGGCGUUACAGCUAACAUGCAGGUGGGCUAAAGGUAUUGUCUGGGAAGAUAAUAUCAGAGCUGGGGAUAGGACUAGAAAGCAACAGAAAAAAAAAAAAAGCAAAA